rnacentral:rRNA from 1 species
UACGAAGGGGGCUAGCGUUGUUCGGUUUUACUGGGCGUAAAGCGCACGUAGGCGGAUCGUUAAGUCGGGGGUGAAAUCCUGGAGCUCAACUCCAGAACUGCCUUCGAUACUGGCGAUCUUGAGUCCGGAAGAGGUGAGUGGAACUCCUAGUGUAGAGGUGGAAUUCGUAGAUAUUAGGAAGAACACCAGUGGCGAAGGCGGCUCACUGGUCCGGUACUGACGCUGAGGUGCGAAAGCGUGGGGAGCAAACAGG